rnacentral:misc_RNA from 1 species
GAUGAAGAAGCAGCGAAAUGCGAUAAGUAGUGUGAAUUGCAGAAUUCAGUGAGUCAUCGAAUCUUUGAACGCACAUUGCGCCCUGUGGUAUUCCGCAGGGCAUGCCUGUUCGAGCGUCAUUUCAACCCUCAAGCCCCGCUUGGUGUUGGGCCCCGCCCGCCGUGGCCGGCCCUAAAGACAGUGGCGGCGCCGCCUGGCCCUCAGCGUAGUACAGCUCUCGCUCCAGGGUCCGGCGGCCGCCUGCCAGAACCCCCCCAACUCUGUGGUUGACCUCGGAUCAGGUAGGGAUACCCGCUGAACUUAAGCAUAUCAAUAAGCGGAGGA